AUGCAAACUCUGAAACUUCAGUUCACACGCAGGCACUUUGGAUUUGCCUUGAAAGCCGCCAUCUCUGCUCCACUAGGCUCCUUCUUCUCCUAUACGUGGGAUGCCUCCAAACGCACUAUUAGGACUUUCCGGAGCCUUAGGCCUGUGUGCCAAAUCUGUAAGUGCAACAACUUGCCUCUGAGUUCUCUAUUUUCCUCUCGGGGUGCCCCUUAAAGACACU
rnacentral:lncRNA from 1 species